rnacentral:lncRNA from 1 species
CAAGAAUCACCUUAUGCUUGGUAGUCAUACCCUAAACUCUAAAUGUCUUUUCAGCUGCCUUUAAUCAUCUCUCAGCUUCAAUAAAAUUCUUUAUAUCAUAAAAAGUAGGAGGAUUAAGUCUCAUUAACCUCCUAUGACAAUCUAGAUCCAUAGCUAGUGGUUCUGGAUUAUGUGGAGCUGGUACUGAGGGAGGACUAGGUAAUUCUUCUCUACCUUCUCUAGGUU